CAGAGCCAUCAAGAGUGCAGUAAAUAGCUGCUGCUGACAACCAAGUGUGAGUAACAGCUGUGGUACUUAUCUGUGCAAUACUUGUACGAAGAGUUGUUUGGUGUGUUCCUUUGUGUUUUUGAGGUCCCUGGCCCCACUGGAGAGGGAAGCGUGGGCGAGCCGUGGUUUGACCGGAAGCACGGACGAAGCACUUGGUAGGAAGCAUCGUUCACCAGUAAAACAGUGGCCCUGUGGGAAAAAGGAAGCGCAGGUGAGCCAGAGGAGUGAUAAUCAACACGCCGGGCCUGUGAAUAACACACAUCUCACCCUCAUCGGUGGUCCAGCGAUCGCCCAACCAUCCUCUCGAGGUCGUCGUAGCCAGGUGGCAAGAGCAAUCUAAAAACCACGUGAAGUUGUAUAAGAGUGCUGUGGGUGAGUUUCACUGAUUGAUGGUGUUUACGCUUUACUUGCUGUGUGUAUGCUGUGCUUGUAGCGUUCAAACCGCCUAGCCCUGACGAGUCACGAGACGGCGACAUCCGUUGUGGCCUGGGUCCUAAGGAGAGCGAGAAAAUUUGAGCCCUGUGCCCGGGGUGUGUCCACGAGAGCUUCGUUGUCCAUAGAGCAGACAGUGGUGAAACCCAGUGAGUAUUACCAAGUGUGCACCGUGCGGACUGUGGGUUGUAGCAGUGUGUGUACUGACCUUUCCAACAGAAGCUCGCGGUGAGCGGAGCCCCGACGAAAGUUCGCCCCAACUCGUGACCCCGAUUGUGGAAGAAGGAGGGGGAGUUUGGGAAGCGUUCGGCUCCGUGUCAUCAGACCCACUAGCCCCUACGACGCCCGGACCGUUUGAGUGGAUGGGCGAAGGAAUGCGGUGUACCAACACUGUAGCGAAAACCCACUGUUUGCAAGCAAAGCUCUGUGUGUAUGAAGGUCCUCCAGUGCUGUGAGUAACGUAACCUGUGAAGUAAACCUGUUCUGUGUUUAUAGCAAUUACCUACCUGUACAAGUGAAGCUCUGUGUGUAUGAAGAUCCCCUGUGCUGUGAGUAACGUAACCUGUGAAGUAAACCUGUUCUGUGCUUAUAGCAAUUACCUACCUGUACAAGCGAAGCUCUGUGUGCAUGAAGAUCCCCAGUGCUGAGAAGCGGAGCGCGCCACGGAUUAUUGGGCCGGAGCCCCCAAAGGAGCCCCUGUCCCCAGUCUUUCCCCCAAGUGGCCCUGGAGGCGAAGAAGAGACACAUUAGUUUUAAAUGACCCUUUCCCCUUCCCCCUUUCCUUUUAAAUAUUUAAUAAAGCUUGUUUUAACUGUA